AUGCAGGCAGCGGUAGAUAACCUCGGGGAACAAGCGCCGGGACCUGCCCCUGCAACCAAUCUCGAACAAGUUGCGAUGACCCAUCCGGUAGAACCGAACCACUCAGGAGCAGGACUGCACAUAGAAAAGGAAAACGUCGGCAGACAAGCUACACCAGGAGGACGUCUACAGCUGACUGUUGGAAAUGGCCAGGAACACGCGUCGAAUGGCAUUGGCACCGCUGCACAAGGACUGCUGACAGAUACAUCGGAUAAACAAUCCAACUCGGUGGACACUAGAAUGCAGCGGCACGCUGAGGAACAAGACCAAUUACACGGUGUUACACAAGGGCAUGAAAUGUCUAGCAAUGAUACAAGCAGUGGAAGCGAUUCAGGUAGCAGUUCAGGGAGUGAGCUAGAUACUGAACUAGGAAAAUGCUUUUACCCUAGUUUCGAGGAACUGGAGAAUUCAAGACCACCGGAAAUUGGAAUGAGAUUUCCAACCCUUGAAGAUGCAGAACGUUUCUACAGCACACAUGCUAUGCUAACUGGUUUUGCAGUAAGGAGGGGGUCGAAUUACAGGAGAGUGAAGUUUGACCUGGAAUGCAACAGAAGUGGUAAACUAAAGCCAACCGAGGACCUGAAGAGGAAGAGGAGGUCUAAUGCUUUGGGAUCACGGUGCCAAGCAAAGGUGAUAGUGAAGCUCCAUAACGAGCAAUGGGAGUUCAUAGGAGUUAAGCAUGAGCACAACCAUCCAUUAUGUCCAUCCCCAUCUCUCGCAAGUUUCUUUUUGAACCACAAAUACCUGUCAAGUGAAGAAAAGUUAUUUCUAAGAGUUCUGCAACAAAGUAGGGUAAAUCCAAGGAAAGCUAUGAAUAUUUUCAGGAGAAUGAGAAGCAACUUCAGAAAGGUAUCAUCGAUAAAAGAGAAAGUUACGAGCAAUUCACAGUGUGCAAACCAGUGGAGAAAAGAAAACUCAGAUGUUGAAACCGCACUGAAGCGCUUCAAAGAACUGGAGCUGCGGAACCUUGGAUUUUCCUACACCAUGCAAAAAGAUGAAGAUAACAUAGUUAGGAGUCUUUUCUGGACUGAUGCGAGGUCGAAAGUAGAUUAUGAGAUUUUUGGAGAUUUCAUAUCGUUUAAUACUACAUACAGCACUAAUAGGAAUAACAUGCCUUUCACCCCUAUUAUUGGAAUGAAUAGUCAUGGGAGAAUCCUUGUGUUUGGAUGCGCCUUGCUACAAGAUCAGAAAGCUGAAACCUUCAAGUGGAUGUUCCAAACUUUCUUGCAUGUGAUGGGAGGGAAACUGCCAAGAAUAGUCAUAACAGACCAGGAUGAAGGUAUGGCGACAGCAAUUUCAGAGGUCAUGCCACAAGUAAGGCAUAGAUUUUGCAAAUUCAGUGUGAUGCGAAAAGCACAGGAAAUGCUGGGAGCCUUCAUGGCAGCAAGGAGCAACAUGAAUGCAGAGCUGCACGGCUUGGUAGACAACUCAGUGACAGAAAAGGAAUUUGAAGAAGGAUGGGAUGUGCUCACUGAGAGAUACGAUGCAAGUCAAAAUGAGUACCUCCGACUCAUGUGGGAGACAAGGAAAAACUGGGUGCCUGUUUAUUUCCAAGCAGAUUUCUGCCCAUUCGUCGAAUCAGCUGGACAUUGUGAGGUGGCAAACUUAUUAUUCAAAGACAAUGUGCUUCCAAAGGACAGAAUCGAGAAGUUUAUUGAGCAAUAUGAGAGGAUGCAAGAGCAUAUAGUAAAAACAGAGGAAGAGGAUGCAUUGCAGUCAGCAACUGAACCGGCGUACUUCUCCAUGCAGCCAAUAGAAAAGCAUGCAGCGCGAAUAUACACAAGGCAAAUAUUUCUGAUAGCACAGAAUGAACUAUACUAUUCCACAGCAUUCAACGUGCAUGAGAUACAAGGAGGAUACAGACUCGAAAAGGUCUUCAACUAUGAGAACCCAGAGUUCAGUAGAAAUUCUUUCGAAGUGCUAGCUGAACCUGGAACCCACGCAUUUAAAUGCCAAUGUGCAAAGUUUACCAGAGAUGGGAUUCUCUGUUGCCACAUAUUCAGAGUUUUCACGCAGCUCGGAGUCAAAGAAAUACCAGCGCAGUACAUGCUGCCCAGGUGGGCGCCUAAAUUCAUAGAGGACCGGCUGAAAGAGUACGAGGAGAGAUGCUCGAAGAGAAGAGAAAACAAAACGAGAUAUGCGAUGCUAUUGGGUAAAAUGGCGGACAUCGGCAAGGGGAUAUGCGCGGACGGUGCGAAAAGCGGCUGCUUCAUGCUCGAACUAGACAAGGUUCAAGAAACAUUGGCAACGACGGCAGAAGAAAUUCCUAGAAAAUGA
rnacentral:rRNA from 1 species